rnacentral:rRNA from 1 species
AACGAACGCUGGCGGCAUGCCUAACACAUGCAAGUCGAACGAGAUCUUCGGGUCUAGUGGCGCACGGGUGCGUAACGCGUGGGAAUCUGCCCUUUGGUUCGGAAUAACAGUUGGAAACGACUGCUAAUACCGGAUGAUGACGAAAGUCCAAGGAUUUAUCGCCAGAGGAUGAGCCCGCGUAGGAUUAGCUAGUUGGUGUGGUAAAGGCGCACCAAGGCGACGAUCCUUAGCUGGUCUGAGAGGAUGAUCAGCCACACUGGGACUGAGACACGGCCCAGACUCCUACGGGAGGCAGCAGUGGGGAACAUUGGACAAUGGGCGAAAGCCUGAUCCAGCAAUGCCGCGUGAGUGAUGAAGGCCUUAGGGUUGUAAAGCUCUUUUACCCGGGAUGAUAAUGACAGUACCGGGAGAAUAAGCUCCGGCUAACUCCGUGCCAGCCGCCGCAGUAAAAC